rnacentral:ncRNA from 1 species
GGUUGGACGCACUCGACAGGUGCCCCCUCCCGAGUGUUCGGUCGUGGGGGAGAAUAGGGAAGCCGGUGGAAAUCCGGCGCGGGGCCGCCGCUGUAAUCGGUCAGGCCAUCGGACGAACAUGCCACUGCCGCAAGGCGGGAAGGCCGUCCGAAGGCCGCUAUGAGCCGUAAGCCAGAAGACCUGCCCGUCGAGACGCAGUUGU